CUUGGCACCAAUCGAAGCCGUUGCUGUUCUCUUGUAGCAGACACGGUCAAAUGAUGCCAAAAACAACACUUUCACCGACGGUCGCUGUGCAGUUUGACAAUAACUGACUUAGCAACAUUAAGGGGAAGGACACUU
ensembl:snoRNA